rnacentral:rRNA from 1 species
UACGUAGGCAGCAAGCGUUGUUCGGAAUUACUGGGCGUAAAGGGCGCGUAGGCGGCCUGUUAAGUCGAACGUGAAAUCCCCGGGCUCAACCCGGGAACUGCGUCCGAUACUGGCAGGCUUGAAUCCGGGAGAGGGAUGCGGAAUUCCAGGUGUAGCGGUGAAAUGCGUAGAUAUCAGGAGGAACACCGGUGGCGAAGGCGGGUCUCUGGGCCGAUAUUGACGCUGAGGAGCGAAAGCGUGGGGAGCGAACAGG